AUUUGGAACAUCACAGCUUUAUGUGAACGUAUAGACAAUGGUGUAGUAGCCUUGCAUGUUUUAUGAACAAUUUUUAUUUAUUUAUUUUUUUGCAGCUAAGAAAUAUAUUCAGAAGCAGAAGAAAGCACAGAUACGGUUGUUAGAUAAUGUAUCGUGUGGCAAAACAAGCAAUAAUAAUAAUAAUAAAGAUAGGCCAGAUGAAAAGCCUCAUUUCUGUUGGAUGGAAGUUCUGUGGGAGAGGCUUCUGAGCACCACAUGGCAGAAGACUACUGACGUCUGGGAAAUCCUUGAGCAUUUCCACACAGGCAUGCCUGGCACCAAGGUAAUGGGAGGCACCAGCUUCCAAAGGGCAAGGAGGUGCCAUGAGAGAUGGGUACUGCAGGACAUCUCCUGGCUGAGAAAAUCACAGCUUAUCAGCUGUGGCCAAAUGCAUUCAAGAGAGGACAAGCUUCAUUCCUUAGAAUAUCUGUAGAUGAAGAAUUUCAAUCUUUUCUUCUAAUUUUUACUUGGUAUGUUGCAAGGUGGCUUGCUGACACUCCUCAGACGACAGGGAAUGCUUGAAUUUCUUGAUGGGAUCAGUCAUGUUAUCUUAUAAAUUUUAGAUAUGAUCAUAGGUGAGAUUUGAUGCUCUGUCACAGUGUGGUAAUCCUGUAGGCUCUCCUGCUAUUGUUUUGGAUAUUGCACCUGAUUCAGAUCCUCUUGGAGCCAGGGACAGCAUUACUGCCAAGUCUAUUAUCUGCAAAAUUGUGUGAUGGACAUUUGCACUUUGCUAUCUGCUUAUGCAGUUUUCAAUAACCUCACAACCUUCUCAGCCAAGACCACUCUUGGCAGAACAGGAAAAGUUUUGUCCUAUCUCUGGACUUUCCCUUGCCAGAAGAGCCUCUGCCAAGACGCAGCUCUAAUAGGAUUAACCAAGAGCAGGCAGUUAACCUAGGGAGUUGGUGUAAUGGAAAAAUAUGACUUUUUUUUUCACUUGAUAUGAUUAGAAAAUAAAAUGCAGUCAGUUAACA
rnacentral:lncRNA from 1 species